rnacentral:rRNA from 1 species
CAGCAGUCGCCACGGUAAUACGGAGGGUGCAAGCGUUAAUCGGAAUUACUGGGCGUAAUGCGCACGCAGGCGGUUUGUUAAGUCAGAUGUGAAAUCCCCGAGCUUAACUUGGGAACUGCAUUUGAAACUGGCAAGCUAGAGUCUUGUAGAGGGGGGUAGAAUUCCAGGUGUAGCGGUGAAAUGCGUAGAGAUCUGGAGGAAUACCGGUGGCGAAGGCGGCCCCCUGGACAAAGACUGACGCUCAGGUGCGAAAGCGUGGGGAGCAAACAGGAUUAGAUACCCCUGUAGUCCCUGUCUCUUAUAC